rfam:Pristionchus pacificus strain PS312 contig8565, whole genome shotgun sequence.
UCUUCAUUCCACGCGCUCUCUCACUGGCCAGAGAGGCGAGAGAGUGUGUGAAAUGAAGAGA